ensembl:rRNA 5S_rRNA 5S ribosomal RNA
UAACACAGCCAUAUCAGUCUGCAGCCAAAGACCGGUUACACACUGAAGCUAGGCAGGGCUGAGCCUGGUCAGUACCUGGAAGGAAAACCAGAUGGAAAAACUUGGUUGCUGUUGGAG